rnacentral:rRNA from 1 species
UACGAAGGGGGGUAGCGUUGUUCGGAAUCACUGGGCGUAAAGCGCACGCAGGCGGAUCGAUAAGUCGGGGGUGAAAGCCCGGGGCUCAACCUCGGAAUUGCCUUCGAUACUGUCGGUCUCGAGUCCGGGAGAGGUGAGUGGAAUUCCUAGUGUAGAGGUGAAAUUCGUAGAUAUUAGGAAGAACACCAGUGGCGAAGGCGGCUCACUGGCCCGGUACUGACGCUCAUGCACGAAAGCGUGGGGAGCAAACAGG